rnacentral:snRNA from 1 species
AUGCCAGGAUUACCUGAUAUUAC